rnacentral:rRNA from 1 species
GACGAACGCUGGCGGCGUGCUUAACACAUGCAAGUCGAACGGAAAGGCCCUGCUUUUGUGGGGUGCUCGAGUGGCGAACGGGUGAGUAACACGUGAGUAACCUGCCCUUGACUUUGGGAUAACUUCAGGAAACUGGGGCUCAUACAGGAUAGGAGCUCCUGCUGCAUGGUGGGGGUUGGAAAGUUUCGGCGGUUGGGGAUGGACUCGCGGCUUAUCCGCUUGUUGGUGGGGUAGUGGCUGACCAAGGCUUUGACGGGUAGCCGGCCUGAGAGGGUGACCGGCCACAUUGGGACUGAGAUACGGCCCAGACUCGUACGGGAGGCAGCAGUGGGGAAUAUGGCACAACGGGCGGAAGCCUGAUGCAGCAACGCCGCGUGCGGGAUGACGGCCUUCGGGUUGUAAACCGCUGUCGCCUGUGACGAAGCGUGAGUGACGGUAAUGGGUAAAGAAGCACCGGCUAACUACGUG